AAUACCGUAUCUGUCUGUUUGUUCUUGUCUUGUAUUGUAAUUAGACUUUGGAGAUUUUUUUAUGACUAGAUUUAAAUAUAGUGACAUUGCAGUAUUAUACUUUAAGUACUAGUACUGCUUAAGUCCACACUAGGGACCGUCUUCACCUUGUUUUACGAUCUUUUACGGUAUUAAUGAUUCUUUAAAAGUAUUGUUGAAGACCAUCCGGCAACUAUCAAGAUGAAGAGCAGAACACAAACUUUGACCAUUGAUCAUUUGUAUUUUUUCUAUGCAUUGACUUUGUGUGCGGUUAUGCCCCUAUACUCCUUUAUUAUCUGUUAAAGGUUCUCAACACGACUUAAUGCAAGUUUAACCUUUCAAUGUAAAAGGUCAUAUAUGGCAAUACCUUGUUUUUUUCUUCAAAUUAUUUGAUACGGGAAAAUAUGUGACCUUACUUUGAUUCAAAC
rnacentral:lncRNA from 1 species